GAUCCUGGCUCAGGACGAACGCUGGCGGCGUGCCUAAUACAUGCAAGUAGAACGCUGACUACUUUAGCUUGCUAGAGUAGAAGGAGUUGCGAACGGGUGAGUAACGCGUAGGUAACCUGCCUACUAGCGGGGGAUAACUAUUGGAAACGAUAGCUAAUACCGCAUAACAGUGUUUAACACAUGUUAGAUGCUUGAAAGAUGCAAAUGCAUCACUAGUAGAUGGACCUGCGUUG
rnacentral:rRNA from 1 species